rnacentral:lncRNA from 1 species
GUUUCUUUGAUACAAUUCCUCAUUGAAAACUGUCUCAAGAUAUUUGGAGAAGAUAUCACUUCUCUCUUUGGAGAGAACUCAGUGAGUUGUGAUAACAGUGAUAUCACUGAUAACAGUGAGAUUUCAGACAAGAAGACAGUUAGUAAGAGUUCUGUCAAAAACUGGGCCUUCUGGUGUCGCUCCAGGACUCGCGAGGACAACCAACACCCACCUCUACCACCCAGAAAGCAAAAACAGCUCUUUGGAGUUGCUCUUGAUGAUGUAUGUGAUAAUGACACCCUGCCCACCCCAAUUCUGGAGAUGCUUUCCUUUAUCAAUCAAAAAGGGCCGUUCACAGAAGGCAUCUUCCGAAAAUCAGCCAGCAUAAAAUCAUGCAGAGCCCUAAAGAAGAAACUAAACGCUGGACACAAAGUUAACUUUGAUGAUGAAUCCGUUCUCGUAGUAUCAUCUGUCUUAAAGGAUUUUCUUCAAAAUAUCCAAGGAAGCAUCUUUUCAGCCCGUCUCUACGAUAAAUGGCUUGAUGUUAUUGAUCAAGGGAAUGAGGAGGAGAAAAUAACUGCGACCCAGAGGCUUGUAGACCAGCUACCGAAAGCCAAUGUAGUGUUGUUGCGAUACCUUUUUGGAGUGUUACACAACAUUGAGCAACAUUCUUCAUCCAAUCAGAUGACACCUUAUAAUUUAUCCGUGUGUCUCGCCCCAUGCAUCCUCUGUCUGCUUAAUUCUGGAAGCUCAGCAUUUGAAAAAGUCACCAAAAAGGUUUCUUUGAUACAAUUCCUCAUUGAAAACUGUCUCAAGAUAUUUGGAGAAGAUAUCACUUCUCUCUUUGGAGAGAACUCAGUGAGUUGUGAUAACAGUGAUAUCACUGAUAACAGUGAGAUUUCAGGGACAACAGAACAAUCUCUUGAAUCCAAGCCAGUGAGGGUGACAAUGAUUUACGAGACGGUACAACUGCAAUAUGAUGCUAUGACCUCAUCAAGGAUGGGUCCACCCACUGACCUGUCUACAGUAUUCUAAAUCCCUGAAGAUUACAGUCCCCAUAAUCACACUUUACCCUUCCUUUUUCUUUAUCCUAUAGUAUCUCACUUCAAGAACACUUAGUUAUAAAACAUUUGCACGAUUUUGUUGAGUUUGAAUUAAAUGCUCAGAUAUAUCCAGAAAUACAUGAAUCUCCUGGCACAAGAAUGAACAUGAGGCACUUAUUCCAAGAAAACCACUUUGGAUCAUUCAGUGAAAAAGAAGACCUUUCAAGGUCCCAGCUUAUACCAUUUCAGUUUUUCUUGACCCUGUAUAUCCAUAUUUGAGAAAAUAUUCCCCCCAGAGUAUCUCUUCUUUCAUUCCUACCAUAUUAUAUUAUUUUUUGUACGGUAUUAUACAUUUUUAUAUUGAUGCAAUAAAAAUAGGUUAGAAAACCA